CACCCCCACCGCAGCUGGUGGGACCCUUCCUGUCUGGUUUCAGAAGACCCUCCUGAUGUUACUUCUGUGUGACAUCAGCUGCACUCCUUCCCCCUCGGUCUCCCUGUUCUCAAUUUCCCCUGUACUCUCCCCUAUUUUGUAUUUUUCCCUCUGUUUCCUGUUCUUUUGCUCUUGGGAUCGUUUUUCUCUCUCCCCCUCUCUUAUUCUCUUCCCCUUGCAGACAGGGUGCUGGGCAUGGCGGGGCCCCAGCACUGUAAGCACUCACUUCUACAAGCAAACUUCAGACUUUAUCAAGGUGACCUUUCCGAAGUGACACAUCUAUCACAGUCUCCACACAUUUCUUAACCAGUUACCAUGGACAAACUGUGCUGCCAUUUUUAUUGAGUUACUAUCUUUCUAUUAAGUGUCACUACAAAUUCUUGAGUGUUGUGGCCCUGACUGCAUUUUACUCUAAGUCCCGUGGUUUUUAAUGCACAAUUUUGCCAGUGGGUUGAAUCUGAGGAAUGCAGACAUCACGUGACAGCAGAAGUAACUGCCCACUCCCCUUGGAAGAACUGGUUGUGUGUGUAUAUCUCUCCCCAACUCUGCAUUAGUGACGUCACAGUGGUAACUGAAACCCACCAGUGGGAGUGUGUUUGGGGCGUAGGACUCAGAAUUUACAUCUCUAUCAUUCCCAGGCGACACUGAUGCUGCUGGGGCAGACUUCGAGGACCACUGUCUGAGGGUCAGACCCCCCCGUGCCUCUCCUUUGCGGGAGCUGGGAGCCACACCACCCCUGCCCUCCUUCUACCCUGACAGGGUGAGAGGAAUUGAGGAAGGCCCAGUGGAAGCCCCAUCUGUGGUGUCUACACUGAUGGAUUCACCGCCUGGGAAGACUGGGCUGCACUCCUCUGCUUCCGGAUAGGGAGCAGUGCUUCUCCCCUUCUCCCUGGCCUUGGCGAGCUGGCCUUGGAGUCAUCCCCGUUUGGAUCCACAUCCACGCUCCACAGGCCACCAGCUUAUGAGCUGCGGGACCUCGUGCAGAUCAAUGAACUUUCCCAGCUUCAAGUUUUUUCAUCUGUAGAGUGGGGAUAAUAAUACCUUGCUUGAAGUAUUGUUGUGAAAAUAAAUUGGUAUCUGAUCCCCUAGUUACAAGGUUGGGUAGGAAAGCAGAAGUCCUUGUAACACAUUUUCCCGAAGGAAUUGAAUACCUAAGGAAUUGAGUCCUCACUCAAGCCUUCCCCACUCCACAGGAACGUGUAUCCCAGACCAUCUCAUCAAUACCUUUGCUUGUCAGUCUUUGCUACUUUUGCUAAUGGAUACGUUAAGACAGAAUUCAAUGCCAAUGGAUUGCAAAACGAAACUGCAAUUCUUUCAAGAGCUGGAAGAUUUCAGGAAGCCUGUGAGUCAUGUGAGAGAUGUGCCCUAACCAUACGCUCCAUGGACAGGGUGGAAGCUGACAGUCAGACCAGAUGGGGGAAGAGAGAAUCAACAAGGAUGACGAUGGGAGAGAGCUCUUUCUGCAAGUGGGCAUUCAUGAAGACUCCCAAUACCUAGGAAGAGCAGAUCCAUCUGGAAUGCAAAAAGGGGCCUUUUGAGUCAGGAAGACGGCAGCCAGCCUGGAAGUGGUCAUGAGAACAAAUUUAAACCGUACCAGGCUUCAGCUGAACCUGGGAAGUCCAAAGCACUGCAAAACGGGAAAUCCGUAUUAAAGGGUGAUUCACAGCCUGAUCUAGUUAAAUCCUCAGACGUGAAGCAGACCACACAGUAAACGAAACCAAUGGCAAAAAUUCAAUGAAAUAAUGUAAAACUGGAGUACAAGUUGGGAGAUCUGGUCUCUUAUCCAGAUUUGAGAAAGUAUUUGUGUCCUUUUCGGAAAGUUACUGAUUUCUUUGUACAUUAUUUGCUCAUAUAAGUUCGAAUGAUGUAAGAUGUGGGUUAUCUCUGGCUUGAACAUGUCACAUCAUUGUAUAUGCCUUCAAGCUCUAAAGGUCAGUUUAGGGGAUGGACCAAAGCCCUACAGGCCUUUCUCGAGACCGACAUAAGCGACACUCACUGUUUCGUGGUGUCCCAUCAGCUGGCGAAGGGUCUGAAAAACCAUUUCUGAACUGACACAGAAUCAUACUAGACUCACCAGCUCUGUAAAGUAACAAAUUAGAUCACAAGCAACGGAACAAACGUCAAUAUGCUGACUCUGUUUCUGAAUUUAUUUUAUGUCUUCUAGUAGGGUAUUACCUUUGUACUCUUUUUCCCUUUGAGGCUUCACAGAACUUCAAUUUAGGAUGAAUAGCUAGAUCAAACUUGGUCCUGUCCAGACUGAGACCCCCUCCUCGGGACACUCUCUGAGCUAUUGGCUGCCGCCCUGGUUCACAUCUUCGGUAUCUCACCGCUGAAGUACCUCUGCUUGCUUGGUUCCCACCAGCAGUUGGCUGCCCUUCCAGUUGGUUCCAUGAGCGAUGCUAGAUUACUCUUCCUGGAACCUCACCCACAUGUGCAUGAUGUGAAAUUCCAACUCCUCACCCUCAGGUUCAAGGUCCUCUUCAAUGGCUCUGAUCCUCCUUUUUGGUUUGGUCUCCUCCCAACACCACUUCUUCCAUUUACAGAGGUCUGAUCACCCCCUUCAGCAGUGUCCUCCACCUGCUGUUUCUUCUGGUUUAAUUUCCAACUCUCCACAACUCUGAGUCUUUCAGAUCCAGAUCAAGCCAUUGCCUUCUCCAUGCAAGUGGGGACCUUGCUUUCCUUUAAUAAAGGAUGCUUGAUCCAUUUACUCAUUCAACAAACUUUUAGUGCAGAGCUACAAUGUGCCAGGCACUGUUCUAGCCAGAGAGUCAAAACUCCUCAAUUGGCAUUUUAUCACACACUUGCUCUAAUAAUUUAUAAUAAAGAGUUAACCUUCAUCAGCAAUGUACUGCUCCCAGCAGUGUGUCAAGUACUUCCCAACGUGUAUUAUUUCCUUUUCCCAGUAACCUUCUGAAGUGAGGACUGGUAUCCUCCAUUUCUUAGACGAAGCAGUGAGGCACAGAGAAAUUGAAUGAUUUUCCCAGCCGGGAUUCACAGUUGGCUUUCCGGCUCCGGAACCCCCCUCUCAGCCACUAUCCCGCUUGGUCUCUCCCCACUUGGCCAUCACUGCCCCUGCCAUGGGCUGCCUGGCACCAUUUUUAGUGUUUCGCUUGUGCAUAUCCUGUCUCCCCAACUUUAAUAAAUUCCGUGUCUCUCAAUGAGCACAACAGCACAGCAUCUAGGGCAGCUGGGUUCACCCAAUCAUGAUGAGAUUUUGCCGGAAUUCCAUGUUGGAAUCAUGGUAAUAAGUGUAUGACAUGAACUGCUUAUGUUUUAUAGUAUGUGGGGAAAACACUGGGAAAUCAUACAGCUCCUCAGUUUCACCUACACUUCCCACCUCCCCUGAAACUUGCCACCUCUAUCGGGCUUGUCCUUCAAUAUUAUUAUGACAAUAAAACCUGUGACAUUUUUGCCUUA